GACGAACGCUGGCGGCGUGCUUAACACAUGCAAGUCGAGCGGUAAGGCCCUUUCGGGGGUACGACGAGCGGCGAACGGGUGAGUAACACGUGGGUGACCUGCCCUUAGCUCUGGGAUAAGCCUGGGAAACUGGGUCUAAUACCGGAUAUGACUCCAUGACGCAUGUUGUGGGGUGGAAAGCCUUGUGCGGCUAGGGAUGGGCCUGCGGCCUAUCAGCUUGUUGGUGGGGUGAUGGCCUACCAAGGCGACGACGGGUAGCCGGCCUGAGAGGGCGACCGGCCACACUGGGACUGAGACACGGGCCCAGACUCCUACGGGAGGCAGCAGUGGGGAAUCUUGCGCAAUGGGCGAAAGCCUGACGCAGCGACGCCGCGUGGGGA
rnacentral:rRNA from 1 species